UACGUAGGGUGCGAGCGUUGUCCGGACUUAUUGGGCGUAAAGGGCUCGUAGGCGGUCUGUCACGUCGGGAGUGAAAACUCAGGGCUUAACCCUGAGCCUGCUUCCGAUACGGGCAGACUAGAGGUAUGCAGGGGAGAACGGAAUUCCUGGUGUAGCGGUGAAAUGCGCAGAUAUCAGGAGGAACACCGGUGGCGAAGGCGGUUCUCUGGGCAUUACCUGACGCUGAGGAGCGAAAGCGUGGGGAGCGAACAGG
rnacentral:rRNA from 1 species